ACACGCCGCGUGAGGGAUCCAAGGCCUCUGGGCUGUAAACCUCUUUUCUCAAGGAAGAAGAACUGACGGUACUUGAGGAAUAAGCCACGGCUAAUUCCGUGCCAGCAGCCGCGGUAAUACGGGAGUGGCAAGCGUUAUCCGGAAUUAUUGGGCGUAAAGCGUCCGCAGGCGGCCUUUUAAGUCUGUUGUCAAAGCGUGGAGCUUAACUCCAUUUGAGCAAUGGAAACUGGGAGGCUUGAGUGUGGUAGGGGCAGAGGGAAUUCCCGGUGUAGCGGUGAAAUGCGUAGAUAUCGGGAAGAACACCAGUGGCGAAGGCGCUCUGCUGGGCCAUCACUGACGCUCAUGGACGAAAGCCAGGGGGGCGAAAGGGAUUAGAUACCCCUGUAGUC
rnacentral:rRNA from 1 species